CUUUUCUUUUCUCUCUUUUUUCUUUUUUCUUUUUCUUUCUUUCUUUUCUUUUCUUUUCUUUUUUUUUUUUGCUCAUAGCCUUCACCUAGAAAACUAAUCAAUACCUGGAGAGCACAACUCACAAUGUUUAACUCCAGAAAAUUCUUAAUCCAAAUCCUGCCUUGAACAAUUGCCACCUGCUGUAUGGACAAAUAGAUGUUAUUGAAAUGAGAAGGAAAACAGAUCAGAACUUUUGGAAAUUCAAGAGAAACCUUUCCAGUGAACAGUAAUCUCCAGAAUAUGCUGCCAUGACAAGAAUGUGAAUUGGAUUUGUUAGGCAGAGUUGCAUCGAGUCAUCAGAAUUGCUCUUUCCUCCAGUCCAUUGGCAAGGCAAAAAUCAAGACAACUGUUGAUGGCCCAGGAUGCAGUGGCUUACUUUGGCAUAUUUGAUGUCUCACAAGCUCUAAGCACUUCAAGGCACCUGCUUUAUUCACCUUCAUGGCCACUGGAACAGAUUGUUCUCAUCUACCCAUUCUAUUGGAAGAAGUCUUCACAUGCUUAGUGCAUGCUGCUUUAUCCUUAUCCCUGUAUUACAGAGAAGGACACCAGGACUCUAAGGAGCUGAGUAAUGUGGGCCUAGCCUCAAAGCUGAUUUCACUGAGGAUAUUGUUUUGAGUUUGAGGGAUGUACAUGAAUGGGACAACAUCACCUGCAAGGCAAUCAAUUUGAGAAGAUAUACAGGCUGGAAAUGUAAGUAGGUUUAUAGAGGAUUAGAAAAAUUCCCAGAUGACUGAUCCAAAGUAUUUUGG
rnacentral:lncRNA from 1 species